rnacentral:misc_RNA from 1 species
GAUGAAGAACGCAGCGAAAUGCGAUAAGUAAUGUGAAUUGCAGAAUUCAGUGAAUCAUCGAGUCUUUGAACGCACAUUGCGCCACCUGGUAAUCCGGGGGGCAUGCCUGUCCGAGCGUCAUUGCUGCCCUCAAGCACGGCUUGUGUGUUGGGCCCCCGUCCCCGGUUUCCCCCGGGGACGGGCCCGAAAGGCAGCGGCGGCACCGCGUCCGGUCCUCGAGCGUAUGGGGCUUUGUCACCCGCUCUGUAGGCCCGGCCGGCGCCAGCCGACACCCAACUUUAUUUCUAAGGUUGACCUCGGAUCAGGUAGGGAUACCCGCUGAACUUAAGCAUAUCAAUAAGCGGAGGA